rnacentral:rRNA from 1 species
GUGGCGAACGGGUGAGUAAUAUAUCGGAACGUGCCCAGUCGUGGGGGAUAACGCAGCGAAAGCUGUGCUAAUACCGCAUACGAUCUAUGGAUGAAAGCGGGGGACUCGUAAGGGCCUCGCGCGAUUGGAGCGGCCGAUAUCAAAUUAGCUAGUUGGCGGGGUAAAAGCCCACCAAGGCGACGAUCUGUAGCUGGUCUGAGAGGACGACCAGCCACACUGGAACUGAGACACGGUCCAAACUCCUACGGGAGGCAGCAGUGGGGAAUUUUGGACAAUGGGCGAAAGCCUGAUCCAGCAAUGCCGCGUGCAGGAUGAAGGCCUUCGGGUUGUAAACUGCUUUUGUACGGAACGAAACGGUUCUUCCUAAUACGGGGGGCUAAUGACGGUACCGUAAGAAUAAGCACCGGCUAACUACGUGCCAGCAGCCGCGGUAAUACGUAGGGUGCGAGCGUUAAUCGGAAUUACUGGGCGUAAAGCGUGCGCAGGCGGUUAUAUAAGACAGAUGUGAAAUCCCCGGGCUCAACCUGGGACCUGCAUUUGUGACUGUAUAGCUAGAGUACGGUAGAGGGGGAUGGAAUUCCGCGUGUAGCAGUGAAAUGCGUAGAUAUGCGGAGGAACACCGAUGGCGAAGGCAAUCCCCUGGACCUGUACUGACGCUCAUGCACGAAAGCGUGGGGAGCAAACAGGAUUAGAUACCCUGGUAGUCCACGCCCU